UACGUAGGGAGCAAGCGUUGUCCGGAAUCAUUGGGCGUAAAGAGCGCGUAGGUGGCUUUAUAAGUCCGUUGUGAAAGUCAAAGGCUCAACCUUUGAAAGCCGAUGGAUACUGUGAAGCUAGAGUACGGAAGAGGCGAGUGGAAUUCCUGGUGUAGCGGUGAAAUGCGCAGAUAUCAGGAGGAACACCAAUUGCGAAGGCAGCUCGCUGGGACGUUACUGACGCUGAGACGCGAAAGCGUGGGGAGCAAACAGG
rnacentral:rRNA from 1 species